AGAGUUGAUCAUGGCUCAGGAUGAACGCUGGCGGCGUGCUUAACACAUGCAAGUCGAACGGAGCUUUGUUACGGAAUCUUCGGAAGAAGUGAUGAAGCUUAGUGGCGGACGGGUGAGUAACACGUGAGCAACCUACCUUUUGCAGGGGAAUAACUCUGGGAAACCAGAGCUAAUACCGCAUGACGUACACAUGAGGCAUCUUAGGUGUAUGAAAGGAGUAAUCCGGCAGAAGAUGGGCUCGCGUCCGAUUAGGUAGUUGGUGGGGUAAGGGCCUACCAAGCCGACGAUCGGUAGCCGGACUGAGAGGUCGACCGGCCACAUUGGGACUGAGACACGGCCCAGACUCCUACGGGAGGCAGCAGUGGGGAAUAUUGGGCAAUGGGCGGAAGCCUGACCCAGCGACGCCGCGUGAAGGAGGAAGGCUUUCGAGUUGUAAACUUCUUUGGGGAGGGACGAAGAUGACGGUACCUCCAGAACAAGCCACGGCUAACUACGUGCCAGCAGCCGCGGUAAUACGUAGGUGGCGAGCGUUAUCCGGAUUUACUGGGUGUAAAGGGCGCGUAGGCGGGUAUGCAAGUUGGAUGUGAAAUUCCGGGGCUUAACUCCGGAUUGUCAUCUAAAACUGUGUAUCUUGAGUGUCAGAGGGGAAAGUGGAAUUCCUAGUGGAGUGGUAAAAUGCGUAGAUAUUAGGAGGAACAUCGGUGGCGAAGGCGACUUUCUGGCUGACAACUGACGCUGAGGCGCGAAAGCGUGGGUAGCGAACAGGAUUAGAUACCCUGGUAGUCCACGCCGUAAACGCUGAUUACUAGGUGUAGGGGGUAUAGACUCCCUCUGUGCCGCAGUUAACGCAUUAAGUAAUCCACCUGGGGAGUACGGCCGCAAGGUUAAAACUCAAAGGAAUUGACGG
rnacentral:rRNA from 1 species